rnacentral:rRNA from 1 species
UGCUCAGGUGGGUUUGUAAGUCAGAGGUGAAAUCCCAAAGCUUAACUUUGGUGCUGCCUUUGAUACUGCGAGCCUUGAGUUUGAGAGAGGGCAAUGGAAUAUCUGGUGUAGCAGUGAAAUGCGUAGAUAUCAGAUAGAACACCAAUGGCGAAGGCAGUUGCCUGGCUCAAAACUGAAGCUAAAGCAACGAAGUGGUGGGGAGCAAACA